rnacentral:rRNA from 1 species
CAUUUGCUGUACCGCGUUGACGGAGCGAAGCGACGUCAAACCGAUAAAACAGCAGUGUAAAGUGAGCCGCAGGGCGCUUUGCGCGACAGCGCAAAGGCAGGCGGUUUCGCGUAGCGAAAGCGAAUGCUUUGGGGUGGGGUGACUGCGUACCUUUUGUAUAAUGGGUCAGCGACUUAUAUUCUGUAGCAAGGUUAACCGAAUAGGGGAGCCGGAGGGAAACCGAGUCUUAAUUGGGCGUUAAGUUGCAGGGUAUAGACCCGAAACCCGGUGAUCUAGCCAUGGGCAGGUUGAAGGUUGGGUAACACUAACUGGAGGACCGAACCGACUAAUGUUGAAAAAUUAGCGGAUGACCUGUGGCUGGGGGUGAAAGGCCAAUCAAACCGGGAGAUAGCUGGUUCUCCCCGAAAGCUAUUUAGGUAGCGCCUCGUGAAUUCAUCUCCGGGGGUAGAGCACUGUUUCGGCUAGGGGGCCAUCCCGGCUUACCAACCCGAUGCAAACUGCGAAUACCGGAGAAUGUUAUCACGGGAGACACACGGCGGGUGCUAACGUCCGUCGUGAAGAGGGAAACAACCCAGACCGCCAGCUAAGGUCCCAAAGUCAUGGUUAAGUGGGAAACGAUGUGGGAAGGCCCAGACAGCCAGGAUGUUGGCUUAGAAGCAGCCAUCAUUUAAAGAAAGCGUAAUAGCUCACUGGUCGAGUCGGCCUGCGCGGAAGAUGUAACGGGGCUAAACCAUGCACCGAAGCUGCGGCAGCGACACUGUGUGUUGUUGGGUAGGGGAGCGUUCUGUAAGCCUGUGAAGGUGUGUCGUGAGGCAUGCUGGAGGUAUCAGAAGUGCGAAUGCUGACAUAAGUAACGAUAAAGCGGGUGAAAAGCCCGCUCGCCGGAAGACCAAGGGUUCCUGUCCAACGUUAAUCGGGGCAGGGUGAGUCGACCCCUAAGGCGAGGCCGAAAGGCGUAGUCGAUGGGAAACGGGUUAAUAUUCCCGUACUUGGUGUUACUGCGAAGGGGGGACGGAGAAGGCUAUGUUGGCCGGGCGACGGUUGUCCCGGUUUAAGCGUGUAGGUGUGUGUUCCAGGUAAAUCCGGUUCACUUUAACACUGAGGCGUGACGACGAGGCACUACGGUGCUGAAGCAACAAAUGCCCUGCUUCCAGGAAAAGCCUCUAAGCAUCAGGUAACAUCAAAUCGUACCCCAAACCGACACAGGUGGUCAGGUAGAGAAUACCAAGGCGCUUGAGAGAACUCGGGUGAAGGAACUAGGCAAAAUGGUGCCGUAACUUCGGGAGAAGGCACGCUGACACGUAGGUGAAGUGAUUUACUCAUGGAGCUGAAGUCAGUCGAAGAUACCAGCUGGCUGCAACUGUUUAUUAAAAACACAGCACUGUGCAAACACGAAAGUGGACGUAUACGGUGUGACGCCUGCCCGGUGCCGGAAGGUUAAUUGAUGGGGUCAGCGCAAGCGAAGCUCCUGAUCGAAGCCCCGGUAAACGGCGGCCGUAACUAUAACGGUCCUAAGGUAGCGAAAUUCCUUGUCGGGUAAGUUCCGACCUGCACGAAUGGCGUAAUGAUGGCCAGGCUGUCUCCACCCGAGACUCAGUGAAAUUGAACUCGCUGUGAAGAUGCAGUGUACCCGCGGCAAGACGGAAAGACCCCGUGAACCUUUACUAUAGCUUGACACUGAACAUUGAGCCUUGAUGUGUAGGAUAGGUGGGAGGCUUUGAAGUGUGGACGCCAGUCUGCAUGGAGCCGACCUUGAAAUACCACCCUUUAAUGUUUGAUGUUCUAACGUGGACCCGUUACCCGGGUUGCGGACAGUGUCUGGUGGGUAGUUUGACUGGGGCGGUCUCCUCC